CGGACCUUGUUUCCAAGCCCAGCUCCUCGUUUCUGGAAUUUCCUGCUUCGUCCCAGCACUUCUGCCCUGCCUUAGGCUGCCUGUUAAUGAUUAGCAUCAUUAAACCAGGUCUGGAGGAGAUGAACCAAAGUGGUCAGAGGAGGGGGUCAGAGAGAGUGUGCACACCAUCCCUGGACCGUGGCCAGUGCUUUCAGGAAACAGAAUGAGAUCUGAUGACAUAGGACACAUUCACAGCAGAUACCCUGCUCUCUGCCUCGCUACAGUGAGAGUAAUCACUGCACAACUGCAGUCUAUAUUCAGUACUGUGUGUGUGUGUGUGUGUGUGUGUGUAUGCCAGUGGCACACAACGUUGGACCUGGUAGCAAUGGCAUUCAGAGGAUGGAUGGCAUCAUCUAUUUUCCCUUACCUCUGAUCUCUGCUGCUGCCGGCAUGUAUGUGUGCGUGUGUG